GAUGAACGCUGACAGAAUGCUUAACACAUGCAAGUCUACUUGAAUUUGGGUUUUUUAACUUAGAUUUGGGUGGCGGACGGGUGAGUAACGCGUAAAGAGCUUGCCUCACAGCUAGGGACAACAUUUGGAAACGAAUGCUAAUACCUGAUAUUAUGAUUAUAAGGCAUCUUAGAAUUAUGAAAGCUAUAUGCGCUGUGAGAGAGCUUUGCGUCCCAUUAGCUAGUUGGAGAGGUAACGGCUCACCAAGGCGAUGAUGGGUAGCCGGCCUGAGAGGGUGAACGGCCACAAGGGGACUGAGACACGGCCCUUACGCAUACGUGAGGCAGCAGUGGAGAAUAGUGGACAAUGGACCAAGAGUCUGAUCCAGCAAUUCUGUGUGCACGAUGACGUUUUUCGGAAUGUAAAGUGCUUUCAGUUGGGAAGAAAAAAAUGACGGUACCAACAGAAGAAGUGACGGCUAAAUACGUG
rnacentral:rRNA from 1 species